GAUAAACGCUGGCGGCGUGCCUAAUACAUGCAAGUCGAGCGAACGGACGAGAAGCUUGCUUCUCUGAUGUUAGCGGCGGACGGGUGAGUAACACGUGGAUAACCUACCUAUAAGACUGGGAUAACUUCGGGAAACCGGAGCUAAUACCGGAUAAUAUUUUGAACCGCAUGGUUCAAAAGUGAAAGACGGUCUUGCUGUCACUUAUAGAUGGAUCCGCGCUGCAUUAGCUAGUUGGUAAGGUAACGGCUUACCAAGGCAACGAUGCAUAGCCGACCUGAGAGGGUGAUCGGCCACACUGGAACUGAGACACGGUCCAGACUCCUACGGGAGGCAGCAGUAGGGAAUCUUCCGCAAUGGGCGAAAGCCUGACGGAGCAACGCCGCGUGAGUGAUGAAGGUCUUCGGAUCGUAAAACUCUGUUAUUAGGGAAGAACAUAUGUGUAAGUAACUGUGCACAUCUUGACGGUACCUAAUCAGAAAGCCACGGCUAACUACGUGCCAGCAGCCGCGGUAAUACGUAGGUGGCAAGCGUUAUCCGGAAUUAUUGGGCGUAAAGCGCGCGUAGGCGGUUUUUUAAGUCUGAUGUGAAAGCCCACGGCUCAACCCGUGGAGGGUCAUUGGAAACUGGAAAACUUGAGUGCAGAAGAGGAAAAGUGGAAUUCCAUGUGUAGCGGUGAAAUGCGCAGAGAUAUGGAGGAACACCAGUGGCGAAGGCGACUUUCUGGUCUGUAACUGACGCUGAUGUGCGAAAGCGUGGGGAUCAAACAGGAUUAGAUACCCUGGUAGUCCACGCCGUAAACGAUGAGUGCUAAGUGUUAGGGGGUUUCCGCCCCUUAGUGCUGCAGCUAACGCAUUAAGCACUCCGCCUGGGGAGUACGACCGCAAGGUUGAAACUCAAAGGAAUUGACGGGGACCCGCACAAGCGGUGGAGCAUGUGGUUUAAUUCGAAGCAACGCGAAGAACCUUACCAAAUCUUGACAUCCUUUGACAACUCUAGAGAUAGAGCCUUCCCCUUCGGGGGACAAAGUGACAGGUGGUGCAUGGUUGUCGUCAGCUCGUGUCGUGAGAUGUUGGGUUAAGUCCCGCAACGAGCGCAACCCUUAAGCUUAGUUGCCAUCAUUAAGUUGGGCACUCUAAGUUGACUGCCGGUGACAAACCGGAGGAAGGUGGGGAUGACGUCAAAUCAUCAUGCCCCUUAUGAUUUGGGCUACACACGUGCUACAAUGGACAAUACAAAGGGCAGCGAAACCGCGAGGUCAAGCAAAUCCCAUAAAGUUGUUCUCAGUUCGGAUUGUAGUCUGCAACUCGACUACAUGAAGCUGGAAUCGCUAGUAAUCGUAGAUCAGCAUGCUACGGUGAAUACGUUCCCGGGUCU
rnacentral:rRNA from 1 species